UACGAAGGGGGCUAGCGUUGCUCGGAAUCACUGGGCGUAAAGCGCACGUAGGCGGCUUCUUAAGUCAGGGGUGAAAUCCUGGAGCUCAACUCCAGAACUGCCCUUGAUACUGAGGAGCUCGAGUCCGGAAGAGGUGAGUGGAACUGCGAGUGUAGAGGUGAAAUUCGUAGAUAUUCGCAAGAACACCAGUGGCGAAGGCGACUACCUGGCCUGUUCUUGACGCUGAGGCGCGAAAGCUAGGGUAGCAAACGGG
rnacentral:rRNA from 1 species